rnacentral:rRNA from 1 species
GAUGAACGCUGGCGGCGUGCCUAAUACAUGCAAGUCGAGCGAACAGACGAGGAGCUUGCUCCUCUGACGUUAGCGGCGGACGGGUGAGUAACACGUGGAUAACCUACCUAUAAGACUGGGAUAACUUCGGGAAACCGGAGCUAAUACCGGAUAAUAUAUUGAACCGCAUGGUUCAAUAGUGAAAGACGGUUUUGCUGUCACUUAUAGAUGGAUCCGCGCCGCAUUAGCUAGUUGGUAAGGUAACGGCUUACCAAGGCAACGAUGCGUAGCCGACCUGAGAGGGUGAUCGGCCACACUGGAACUGAGACACGGUCCAGGCUCCUACGGGAGGCAGCAGUAGGGAAUCUUCCGCAAUGGGCGGAAGCCUGACGGAGCAACGCCGCGUGAGUGAUGAAGGUCUUCGGAUCGUAAAACUCUGUUAUUAGGGAAGAACAAAUGUGUAAGUAACUAUGCACGUCUUGACGGUACCUAAUCAAAAAGCCACGGCUAACUACGUG